rnacentral:lncRNA from 1 species
CAUGAGGGAGACAGAGGGAGACAGAGGGAGACAGGUGGUGACAUGGUGAAGACAGAAAGAGACAGGUGGUGACAUGGGGGAGAAGGAGGGAGACAGGUGGUGACAUGGGGGAGACAGAAGGGAGACAGGUGGCGACAUGGGGGGAGGAAGAGGGAGACAGGUGGUGACAUGGGGGAGACAGAGGAAACAGGUGGUGCCAUGGGGGAGACAGAGGGAGACAAGUGGUGACAUGGGCGAGAAGGAGGAGACAGGGGCGACAUGGGGGAGAAGGAGGGAGACAGGUGGUGACAUGAGGGAGACAGAGGGAGACAGGUGGUGACAUGGGGGAGACAGAGGGAGACAGGUGGCGACAUGGGGGAGAAGGAGGGAGACAGGUGGUGACAUGGUGGGAGACAGAGGGAGACAAGUGGCGACAUGGGGGAGAAGGAGGGAGACAGGUGGUGACAUGGGGGAGACAGAGGGAGACAGAGGGAGACAAGUGGUGACAUGGGGGAGACAGGUGGUGACAUGGUGGAGACAGAGAGAGACAGGGGCGACAUGGGGGAGACAGAGGAGACAGGUGGCGACAU